rnacentral:rRNA from 1 species
GACGAACGCUGGCGGCGUGCUUAACACAUGCAAGUCGAACGCUGAAGCACCAGCUUGCUGGUGUGGAUGAGUGGCGAACGGGUGAGUAAUACGUGAGUAACCUGCCCUUGACUCUGGGAUAAGCCCGGGAAACUGGGUCUAAUACUGGAUGCUACAUGUCACCGCAUGGUGGUGUGUGGAAAGGGUUUACUGGUCUUGGAUGGGCUCACGGCCUAUCAGCUUGUUGGUGAGGUAAUGGCUCACCAAGGCGACGACGGGUAGCCGGCCUGAGAGGGUGACCGGCCACACUGGGACUGAGACACGGCCCAGACUCCUACGGGAGGCAGCAGUGGGGAAUAUUGCACAAUGGGCGAAAGCCUGAUGCAGCGACGCCGCGGGAGGGAUGACGGCCUUCGGGUUGUAAACCUCUUUCAGCAGGGAAGAAGCCACAAGUGACGGUACCUGCAGAAGAAGCGCCGGCUAACUACGUG